ACUUGUUGAAAUGGACAUCCUGUGGAGACUAAAGUGCAGUCUGCUGCAAGUGUCUGUGGCUGAGUCUUAAGAGGAUCUCGGGGAACCUGUGGAAUUUGGAGAUAUGCGUGAUGUGGUAGAUCUGCGGGAUGGAUGGGCCGGGGGUGCCAACACAGAGCGCUCAGUCACAGCGACGGUGCUUUCAGGAAUGUGGAGGAAGCUCCCAACAAGGACACAAGUCAGGCUGGAGGCACAAUGUGGACUUUGUGGUCUCGGGUUCCACUCCUGCAACCUCUACACCUAUUCUCUUCAUCUAAAACUGACCACAAUCACAACUAUUAUCUCCGCGCUGGCCCGCUUUUGGACACAGCUCCUGUAUUGGACGCCUGUGUACCUAAUGAAGUGACCGCGGAGCACACUAAAUAUUAGAUAAAAAGACUAAAUUUUAAGGAAAAUAUAUUGAAAACUAGUAAAAAGAUCCGUCUAUGCAGCUAGUUAAUUUUACUUGAUAAAACAUCCUAAGUUAAGAUUUCUUUAUCUAUAUAUUAGCAGGACUUUUAAGGCGGAAAAGGGUAUUUUAACCUGAAAACAAAUAUUAUUCAAAUGAAUAAUGUUGAAGAAUCUUUCAAUAAAAUUUUUAAAUUUUUAAAUUAAGAGAAAAUGUAAUUAUUCAACCUUAAAGUAAGAUUAUGAUGUAAAGUCAAUGGCUAAAAAUAAGUUAAAAGCUCUUAAAACUAGGUGUACCUAAUGAAGUGACCACUGAGCACACAAAAUAUUAGAUAAAAAGACUUGAUUUUAAUGAAAUUUUUCUAAAAACUAGUGAAAUGAUCUGACCAUGCUGCUAGUUAAUUUUACUUGAUAAAACAUCCUGAGUUAAGAUUUUUAUAUCUGUAAAUUAGCAGGACUUUUAAGACAGAAAAAGGUAUUUUAUUCUGAAAACAAAUAUUGUUCAAAUAGAGCAUCUGGAAUUUCAGAAUUUCUCUACAAUAUUUUUACAUUUUUAAAUUACAAUAGAGAAAAUAUAUUUAUUCAAGCUUAAAGUAAUAUUAGGAUGUAAAGUCAAUGGCUAAAAAUAAGUAAAAAGCACUUAAAACUAGUUGUACCUAAUGAAGUGACCACUGAGCAUACAAAAGAUUAGAUAAAAAGACUAGAUUUUAAGGAAUAAAUACUCAAAACUAUUGAAAUGAUCUGUCCAUGCAGCUAGUUAUUUUUACCUGAUAAAACAUCCUAAGUUAAAAUGUGUACAUCUAUAAAUUUGUCAUGUCUAUGUGAUCAUGUUUUGGUUUAGUCAUGUUCUGUUUGUUUUUUUGGCCACUCAGUUCCUGUUUUUGCACUUCCUGGUUUGUUUUGUCACCAUGACUACCCAUUAGUUUUCACCUGUCCUCAUGUCUCACACCUGUUUUCACUAAUCACCACAGUAUUAUUUAAGCCUGUCUGUUUCUGUUCUUCGUCCUGGCAACACCGCCUCCUUCAUACCUCCGACCACCAUCUCUCACCCUCGAUACCUCUACUCACGUCAUGCCAUGUUUCACAGUUCUAUGCCAAGUAAGUUUUUGUUUACAGUUCAUAGUUUCUGCCUUUGGGCAAGUCUUUGUUUUCUUUAGUCAAGUUUGUUGUCCGCCAUUGUGCGCGCCUUUUUUGUUUGUUCAUGUUUUUAGUUAUAUUGUUAUAAUAAAAAAUAUGUACUUA